CCUACGGGUGGCAGCAGUGAGGAAUAUUGGUCAAUGGGCGCGAGCCUGAACCAGCCAAGUAGCGUGAAGGAUGACGGCACUACGGGUUGUAAACUUCUUUUAUAAAGGAAUAAAGUGAGGCACGUGUGCCGUGUUGUAUGUACUGUAUGAAUAAGGAUCGGCUAACUCCGUGCCAGCAGCCGCGGUAAUACGGAGGAUCCGAGCGUUAUCCGGAUUUAUUGGGUUUCAAGGGAGCGGAGAUGGGUUGUUAAGUCAGUUGUGCAAGUUUGCGGCUCAACCGUAAAAUUGCAAUUGAUACUGGCAGCCUUGUGUACAGUUGAGGUAGGCGGCAUUCGUGGUGUAGCGGU
rnacentral:rRNA from 1 species